rnacentral:rRNA from 1 species
UACGUAGGGGGCAAGCGUUGUCCGGAUUUAUUGGGCGUAAAGAGCGUGUAGGCGGCCAUACAGGUCAGCUGUGAAAACUCGAGGCUCAACCUCGAGACGUCGGUUGAAACCGUAUGGCUAGAGUCCGGAAGAGGAGAGUGGAAUUCCUGGUGUAGCGGUGAAAUGCGCAGAUAUCAGGAGGAACAGCCGGUGGCGAAGGCGGGACUCUGGGCCGAUACUGACGCUGAGGAGCGAAAGCGUGGGGAGCAAACAGG